AACUGCUCCUGAGAUCAGCGGCGGACGGGUGAGUAACACGUGGGUAACCUGCCUGUAAGACUGGGAUAACUCCGGGAAACCGGGGCUAAUACCGGAUAACACCUACCCCCGCAUGGGGGAAGGUUGAAAGGUGGCUUCGGCUAUCACUUACAGAUGGACCCGCGGCGCAUUAGCUAGUUGGUGAGGUAACGGCUCACCAAGGCGACGAUGCGUAGCCGACCUGAGAGGGUGAUCGGCCACACUGGGACUGAGACACGGCCCAGACUCCUACGGGAGGCAGCAGUAGGGAAUCUUCCGCAAUGGACGAAAGUCUGACGGAGCAACGCCGCGUGAGUGAAGAAGGUUUUCGGAUCGUAAAACUCUGUUGUUAGGGAAGAACAAGUGCCGUUCGAAUAGGGCGGCACCUUGACGGUACCUAACCAGAAAGCCACGGCUAACUACGUGCCAGCAGCCGCGGUAAUACGUAGGUGGCAAGCGUUGUCCGGAAUUAUUGGGCGUAAAGCGCGCGCAGGUGGUUUCUUAAGUCUGAUGUGAAAGCCCACGGCUCAACCGUGGAGGGUCAUUGGAAACUGGGGAACUUGAGUGCAGAAGAGGAAAGUGGAAUUCCAAGUGUAGCGGUGAAAUGCGUAGAUAUUUGGAGGAACACCAGUGGCGAAGGCGACUUUCUGGUCUGUAACUGACACUGAGGCGCGAAAGCGUGGGGAGCAAACAGGAUUAGAUACCCUGGUAGUCCACGCCGUAAACGAUGAGUGCUAAGUGUUAGAGGGUUUCCGCCCUUUAGUGCUGCAGCUAACGCAUUAAGCACUCCGCCUGGGGAGUACGGUCGCAAGACUGAAACUCAAAGGAAUUGACGGGGGCCCGCACAAGCGGUGGAGCAUGUGUAAUUCGAAGCAACGCGAAGAACCUUACCAGGUCUUGACAUCCUCUGACAACCCUAGAGAUAGGGCUUUCCCCUUCGGGGGACAGAGUGACAGGUGGUGCAUGGUUGUCGUCAGCUCGUGUCGUGAGAUGUUGGGUUAAGUCCCGCAACGAGCGCAACCCUUGAUCUUAGUUGCCAGCAUUCAGUUGGGCACUCUAAGAUGACUGCCGGUGACAAACCGGAGGAAGGUGGGGAUGACGUCAAAUCAUCAUGCCCCUUAUGACCUGGGCUACACACGUGCUACAAUGGACGGUACAAAGGGCUGCAAGACCGCGAGGUUUAGCCAAUCCCAUAAAACCGUUCUCAGUUCGGAUUGUAGGCUGCAACUCGCCUACAUGAAGCUGGAAUCGCUAGUAAUCGCGGAUCAGCAUGC
rnacentral:rRNA from 2 species